GGGUUGUGAGGUUAAGCGACUAAGCGUACACGGUGGAUGCCCUGGCAGUCAGAGGCGAUGAAGGGCGUGCUAAUCUGCGAUAAGCGCCGGUAAGGUGAUAUGAACCGUUAUAACCGGCGAUACCCGAAUGGGGAAACCCAGUGUGACUCGUCACACUAUCAUUAACUGAAUCCAUAGGUUAAUGAGGCGAACCGGGGGAACUGAAACAUCUAAGUACCCCGAGGAAAAGAAAUCAACCGAGAUUCCCCCAGUAGCGGCGAGCGAACGGGGAGGAGCCCAGAGCCUGAAUCAGCAUGUGUGUUAGUGGAAGCGUCUGGAAAGGCGCGCGAUACAGGGUGACAGCCCCGUACACAAAAGCGCAUGUGCUGUGAGCUCGAUGAGUAGGGCGGGACACGUGGUAUCCUGUCUGAAUAUGGGGGGACCAUCCUCCAAGGCUAAAUACUCCUGACUGACCGAUAGUGAACCAGUACCGUGAGGGAAAGGCGAAAAGAACCCCGGCGAGGGGAGUGAAAAAGAACCUGAAACCGUGUACGUACAAGCAGUGGGAGCCCCACCACUAAGCCAGUGGUGAACUCCACAUACGCAUCCUUUGCUGAGGAUACGGUUAACGGAGCGAAAGCGACGUUCAACCGCAAAAGAAGCAGAGGGGGCUUAGUGGUGGGGUGACUGCGUACCUUUUGUAUAAUGGGUCAGCGACUUAUAUUCUGUAGCAAGGUUAACCGAAUAGGGGAGCCGGAGGGAAACCGAGUCUUAAUUGGGCGUUAAGUUGCAGGGUAUAGACCCGAAACCCGGUGAUCUAGCCAUGGGCAGGUUGAAGGUUGGGUAACACUAACUGGAGGACCGAACCGACUAAUGUUGAAAAAUUAGCGGAUGACCUGUGGCUGGGGGUGAAAGGCCAAUCAAACCGGGAGAUAGCUGGUUCUCCCCGAAAGCUAUUUAGGUAGCGCCUCGUGAAUUCAUCUCCGGGGGUAGAGCACUGUUUCGGCUAGGGGGCCAUCCCGGCUUACCAACCCGAUGCAAACUGCGAAUACCGGAGAAUGUUAUCACGGGAGACACACGGCGGGUGCUAACGUCCGUCGUGAAGAGGGAAACAACCCAGACCGCCAGCUAAGGUCCCAAAGUCAUGGUUAAGUGGGAAACGAUGUGGGAAGGCCCAGACAGCCAGGAUGUUGGCUUAGAAGCAGCCAUCAUUUAAAGAAAGCGUAAUAGCUCACUGGUCGAGUCGGCCUGCGCGGAAGAUGUAACGGGGCUAAACCAUGCACCGAAGCUGCGGCAGCGACACUCAGGUGUUGUUGGGUAGGGGAGCGUUCUGUAAGCCUGUGAAGGUGUGUCGUGAGGCAUGCUGGAGGUAUCAGAAGUGCGAAUGCUGACAUAAGUAACGAUAAAGCGGGUGAAAAGCCCGCUCGCCGGAAGACCAAGGGUUCCUGUCCAACGUUAAUCGGGGCAGGGUGAGUCGACCCCUAAGGCGAGGCCGAAAGGCGUAGUCGAUGGGAAACGGGUUAAUAUUCCCGUACUUGGUGUUACUGCGAAGGGGGGACGGAGAAGGCUAUGUUGGCCGGGCGACGGUUGUCCCGGUUUAAGCGUGUAGGUGUGUGUUCCAGGUAAAUCCGGUUCACUUUAACACUGAGGCGUGACGACGAGGCACUACGGUGCUGAAGCAACAAAUGCCCUGCUUCCAGGAAAAGCCUCUAAGCAUCAGGUAACAUCAAAUCGUACCCCAAACCGACACAGGUGGUCAGGUAGAGAAUACCAAGGCGCUUGAGAGAACUCGGGUGAAGGAACUAGGCAAAAUGGUGCCGUAACUUCGGGAGAAGGCACGCUGACACGUAGGUGAAGUGAUUUACUCAUGGAGCUGAAGUCAGUCGAAGAUACCAGCUGGCUGCAACUGUUUAUUAAAAACACAGCACUGUGCAAACACGAAAGUGGACGUAUACGGUGUGACGCCUGCCCGGUGCCGGAAGGUUAAUUGAUGGGGUCAGCGCAAGCGAAGCUCCUGAUCGAAGCCCCGGUAAACGGCGGCCGUAACUAUAACGGUCCUAAGGUAGCGAAAUUCCUUGUCGGGUAAGUUCCGACCUGCACGAAUGGCGUAAUGAUGGCCAGGCUGUCUCCACCCGAGACUCAGUGAAAUUGAACUCGCUGUGAAGAUGCAGUGUACCCGCGGCAAGACGGAAAGACCCCGUGAACCUUUACUAUAGCUUGACACUGAACAUUGAGCCUUGAUGUGUAGGAUAGGUGGGAGGCUUUGAAGUGUGGACGCCAGUCUGCAUGGAGCCGACCUUGAAAUACCACCCUUUAAUGUUUGAUGUUCUAACGUGGACCCGUAAUCCGGGUUGCGGACAGUGUCUGGUGGGUAGUUUGACUGGGGCGGUCUCCUCCUAAAGAGUAACGGAGGAGCACGAAGGUUGGCUAAUCCUGGUCGGACAUCAGGAGGUUAGUGCAAUGGCAUAAGCCAGCUUGACUGCGAGCGUGACGGCGCGAGCAGGUGCGAAAGCAGGUCAUAGUGAUCCGGUGGUUCUGAAUGGAAGGGCCAUCGCUCAACGGAUAAAAGGUACUCCGGGGAUAACAGGCUGAUACCGCCCAAGAGUUCAUAUCGACGGCGGUGUUUGGCACCUCGAUGUCGGCUCAUCACAUCCUGGGGCUGAAGUAGGUCCCAAGGGUAUGGCUGUUCGCCAUUUAAAGUGGUACGCGAGCUGGGUUUAGAACGUCGUGAGACAGUUCGGUCCCUAUCUGCCGUGGGCGCUGGAGAACUGAGGGGGGCUGCUCCUAGUACGAGAGGACCGGAGUGGACGCAUCACUGGUGUUCGGGUUGUCAUGCCAAUGGCACUGCCCGGUAGCUAAAUGCGGAAGAGAUAAGUGCUGAAAGCAUCUAAGCACGAAACUUGCCCCGAGAUGAGUUCUCCCUGAGACUUAGAGUCUCCUGAAGGAACGUUGAAGACGACGACGUUGAUAGGCCGGGUGUGUAAGCGCAGCGAUGCGUUGAGCUAACCGGUACUAAUGAACCGUGAGGCUUAACCUUACAACGCCGAAG
rnacentral:rRNA from 1 species